GCUGGGAUAGCUCAGUCGGCAAAGCACGGGGCUCGUAAUCUCAGGUUCGCAGGUUUUCUAAGAAUAAGAAUUAAAAAAACUUGUCUGGGGUAGCUCAUCUCAAAGACUAGCUAGCUAUGUCGCUACGUGGAGAAUCGCUUCCUUUUCUCCAAAUCUCCCUGCAUCCAGCUUUCUGGGGAACGGACGCAGAGGCAGAACAUCUGUCCCGAUUGCAGAAGGUCGCAGGUUCGAUUCCCUGCAUUUCCUGCU